CCCUGUGAGUUACUAACUUUG
rnacentral:siRNA from 1 species